CCUACGGGAGGCAGCAGUGGGGAAUUUUCCGCAAUGGGCGAAAGCCUGACGGAGCAACGCCGCGUGAGGGAUGAAGGCCUCUGGGCUGUAAACCUCCUUUAUCAAGGAAGAAGAUCUGACGGUACUUGAUGAAUAAGCCACGGCUAAUUCCGUGCCAGCAGCCGCGGUAAUACGGGAGUGGCAAGCGUUAUCCGGAAUUAUUGGGCGUAAAGCGUCCGCAGGCGGUCUUGUAAGUCUGUCGUUAAAGCGUGGAGCUUAACUCCAUUUCGGCGGUGGAAACUACAAGACUAGAGUGUGGUAGGGGCAGAGGGAAUUCCCGGUGUAGCGGUGAAAUGCGUAGAUAUCGGGAAGAACACCAGUGGCGAAGGCGCUCUGCUGGGCCAUAACUGACGCUCAUGGACGAAAGCUAGGGGAGCGAAAGGGAUUAGAUACCCCUGUAGUCCUAGCCGUAAACGAUGAACACUAGGUGUCGGGGGAAUCGACCCCUCGGCGUCGUAGCUAACGCGUUAAGUGUUCCGCCUGGGGAGUACGCACGCAAGUGUGAAACUCAAAUGAAUUGACGG
rnacentral:rRNA from 1 species